rnacentral:siRNA from 1 species
UAUCAAGCGGUGUCUUCUCA